CCUACGGGAGGCAGCAGUGAGGAAUAUUGGUCAAUGGGCGGGAGCCUGAACCAGCCAUGCCGCGUGAAGGCGAGUGCCCUACGGGCGUUAAACUUCUUUUGUGCGGGAGCAAUAAGGGCCCCGUGUGGCCCGAUGAGAGUACCGCACGAAUCAGCCUCGGCUAACUCCGUGCCAGCAGCCGAGGUAAUACGGGGGAUGCGAGCGUUAUCCGGAUUUAUUGGGUUUUAAGGGUGCGUAGGUUGCGUUUCAGGUCCGCGGUGAAAUACCGGGGCUCAACCCCGGGGCUGCCGUUGAAACCGGAGCGCUAGAGUUCCGAUGCCGUCGGAGGAAUGUGUGGUGUAGCGGUGAAAUGCAUAGAUAUCACACAGAACACCGAUUGCGAAGGCAGCUGACGAAGCGAAGAUUGACGCUGAUGCACGAAAGCGUGGGGAUCGAACAGGAGUAGAUACCCGGGUAGUC
rnacentral:rRNA from 1 species